GCGGCGUGCCUAAUACAUGCAAGUCGAGCGAAUGGAUUGAGAGCUUGCUCUUAUGAAGUUAGCGGCGGACGGGUGAGUAACACGUGGGUAACCUGCCCAUAAGACUGGGAUAACUCCGGGAAACCGGGGCUAAUACCGGAUAACAUUUUGAACUGCAUGGUUCGAAAUUGAAAGGCGGCUUCGGCUUGUCACUUAUGGAUGGACCCGCGUCGCAUUAGCUAGUUGGUGAGGUAACGGCUCACCAAGGCAACGAUGCGUAGCCGACCUGAGAGGGUGAUCGGCCACACUGGGACUGAGACACGGCCCAGACUCCUACGGGAGGCAGCAGUAGGGAAUCUUCCGCAAUGGACGAAAGUCUGACGGAGCAACGCCGCGUGAGUGAUGAAGGCUUUCGGGUCGUAAAACUCUGUUGUUAGGGAAGAACAAGUGCUAGUUGAAUAAGCUGGCACCUUGACGGUACCUAACCAGAAAGCCACGGCUAACUACGUGCCAGCAGCCCGCGG
rnacentral:rRNA from 1 species